AUUGAACGCUGGCGGCAGGCCUAACACAUGCAAGUCGAACGGUAACAGAAAGCAGCUUGCUGCUUUGCUGACGAGUGGCGGACGGGUGAGUAAUGUCUGGGAAACUGCCUGAUGGAGGGGGAUAACUACUGGAAACGGUAGCUAAUACCGCAUAACGUCGCAAGACCAAAGAGGGGCACCUUCGGGCCUCUUGCCAUCGGAUGUGCCCAGAUGGGAUUAGCUAGUAGGUGGGGUAAAGGCUCACCUAGGCGACGAUCCCUAGCUGGUCUGAGAGGAUGACCAGCCACACUGGAACUGAGACACGGUCCAGACUCCUACGGGAGGCAGCAGUGGGGAAUAUUGCACAAUGGGCGCAAGCCUGAUGCAGCCAUGCCGCGUGUAUGAAGAAGGCCUUCGGGUUGUAAAGUACUUUCAGCGGGGAGGAAGGGAGUAAAGUUAAUACCUUUGCUCAUUGACGUUACCCGCAGAAGAAGCACCGGCUAACUCCGUG
rnacentral:rRNA from 1 species